rnacentral:rRNA from 1 species
AGAAUCAACGCUGGCGGCGUGCCUAACACAUGCAAGUCGAACGAGAAAGUGGAGCAAUCCAUGAGUAAAGUGGCGCACGGGUGAGUAACACGUGACUAACCUACCCUCGAGUGGGGAAUAACCUCGGGAAACCGGGCUAACACCGCAUAACAUCUACGGAUCAAAUGCGUAAGCAGCUUGAGGAGGGGGUCGCGGCUGAUUAGCUAGUUGGCGGGGUAAUGGCCCACCAAGGCAGUGAUCAGUA